AUAUCAAUAAGCGGAGGAAAAGAAACUAACAAGGAUUCCCUUAGUAACUGCGAGUGAAGUGGGAAAAGCUCAAAUUUGGAAUCUGGCAGUCUCUGGCUGUCCGAGUUGUAAUCUAGAGAAGUGUUACCUGCGCCAGACCGUGUACAAGUCUCCUGGAAUGGGGCGUCAUAGAGGGUGAGAAUCCCGUCUCUGACACGGACUACUGGGGCUUUGUGGUAUGCUCUCAAAGAGUCGAGUUGUUUGGGAAUGCAGCUCUAAAUGGGUGGUAAAUUCCAUCUAAAGCUAAAUAUUGGCGAGAGACCGAUAGUGAACAAGUACCGUGAGGGAAAGAUGAAAAGAACUUUGGAAAGAGAGUUAAACAGUACGUGAAAUUGCUGAAAGGGAAACGCUUGAAGUCAGUCGCAUCGGCCUGGGGAUCAGCCUCACUUCUCGUGUGGUGCACUUCCUGGUUGAUGGGUCAGCAUCAAUUUUGACUGCUGGAGAAAGGCUUGAGGAAUGUAGCAGCUCUGGCUGUGUUUAUAGCUUCUUGUCAGAUACAGUGGUUGGGAUUGAGGGAUGCAGCGCGCCGCAAGGCCGGGGCAGAUUUGCUCACGUCCGCGCUUAGGAUGUUGACAUAAUNNNNNNNNNNNNNNNNNNNNNNNNNNNNNNNNNNNNNNNNNNNNNNNNNNNNNNNNNNNNNNNNNNNNNAACCCAUGCGCGCAAUGAAAGUGAAAGUUGAGAUCCCUGUCGCGGGGAGCAUCGACGCCCAGACCAGAACUCUUGGGAUGGAUCUGCGGUAGAGCAUGUAUGUUGGGACCCGAAAGAUGGUGAACUAUGCCUGAAUAGGGCGAAGCCAGAGGAAACUCUGGUGGAGGCUUGUAGCGAUUCUGACGUGCAAAUCGAUCGUCAAAUUUGGGUAUAGGGGCGAAAGACUAAUCGAACCAUCUAGUAGCUGGUUCCUGCCGAAGUUUCCCUCAGGAUAGCAGAAACUCAUGUCAGAUUUAUGUGGUAAAGCGAAUGAUUAGAGGCCUUGGGGUUGAAACAACCUUAACCUAUUCUCAAACUUUAAAUAUGUAAGAACGAGCUGUUUCUUGACUGAACUGCUCGGUGAUUGAGAGUUUCUAGUGGGCCAUUUUUGGUAAGCAGAACUGGCGAUGCGGGAUGAACCGAACGCGAGGUUAAGGUGCCGGAAUUCACGCUCAUCAGACACCACAAAAGGUGUUAGUUCAUCUAGACAGCAGGACGGUGGCCAUGGAAGUCGGAAUCCGCUAAGGAGUGUGUAACAACUCACCUGCCGAAUGAACUAGCCCUGAAAAUGGAUGGCGCUUAAGCGUGAUACCCAUACCUCGCCGUCAGUGUUGAAGUGAUGCACUGACGAGUAGGCAGGCGUGGAGGUCAGUGGAGAAGCCUUGGCAGUGAUGCUG
rnacentral:rRNA from 1 species